rnacentral:rRNA from 1 species
CCUACGGGUGGCAGCAGUGGGGAAUAUUGCACAAUGGGGGAAACCCUGAUGCAGCGACGCCGCGUGAGUGAAGAAGGAUUUCGGUAUGUAAAGCUCUAUCAGCAGGGAAGAAAAUGACGGCACGUGUGUAAGAAGCCCCGGCUAACUACGUGACAGCAGCCGCGGUAAUACGUAGGGGGCAAGCGUUAUCCGGAUUUACUGGGUGUAAAGGGAGCGUAGACGGGAGUACAAGUCUGGAGUGAAAUGCCGGGGCUUAACCCCGGAACUGCUGUGGAAACUGUGCAGCUAGAGUGCAGGAGAGGUAAGUGGAAUUCCUGGUGUAGCGGUGAAAUGCGUAGAUAUUAGGAAGAACGCCGGUGGCGAAGGCAGCUUACUGGACUGUAACUGACGUUGAGGCUCGAAAGCGUGGGGAGCGAACAGGAUUAGAUACCCGAGUAGUC